CCUGUCUUGUUUUCGGUUCCCCUCAGAGCCCGGCCUGUGGUGGUCAUCGAGGCCCAAGUGCUGGUGCCAGAAGCGCUGAACCCCGAGGAGAAAAGCUGCACGGUGUCGAAAGUGGAAGUCAGCUGCUUCACCAUCCAGAUGUGUGUCGGAGUGUCGGGGAAAAGCAUACCCCUCAAAAUGAGCCUGGAAGCAGAGCUGCAGUUGGACCGCAUGAAGCAGAAAUUUUGGCGAAGGGUUUUCCUGCAGCAAAACAGCCAGUCGAGCCAGGUGUUCCCCCUGGAACUCUCCAGAAAAGU